rnacentral:rRNA from 1 species
UCGCUGUGUAGCGGCCUUCUGUACCCCCCAUUGUAACACGUGUGUAGCCCCGGACGUAAGGGCCGUGCUGAUUUGACGUCAUCCCCACCUUCCUCACAUCUUACGACGGCAGUCUCUCCAGAGUCCUCAGCAUAACCUGUUAGUAACUGAAGAUAAGGGUUGCGCUCGUUAUGGCACUUAAGCCGACACCUCACGGCACGAGCUGACGACAACCAUGCAGCACCUUCACAAAUGCCUUGCGGCUAUGCCGUUUCCGGCAUAUUCAUUUGCAAUUUAAGCCCGGGUAAGGUUCCUCGCGUAUCAUCGAAUUAAACCACAUGUUCCUCCGCUUGUGCGGGCCCCCGUCAAUUCCUUUGAGUUUCACCGUUGCCGGCGUACUCCCCAGGUGGAAUACUUAAUGCUUUCGCUUGGCCGCUUACUGUAUAUCGCAAACAGCGAGUAUUCAUCGUUUACUGUGUGGACUACCAGGGUAUCUAAUCCUGUUUGAUACCCACACUUUCGAGCAUCAGUGUCAGUUGCAGUCCAGUGAGCUGCCUUCGCAAUCGGAGUUCUUCGUGAUAUCUAAGCAUUUCACCGCUACACCACGAAUUCCGCCCACCUCUACUGUACUCAAGACACGCAGUAUCAACUGCAAUUUUACGGUUGAGCCGCAAACUUUCACAACUGACUUACAUGUCCACCUACGCUCCCUUUAAACCCAAUAAAUCCGGAUAACGCUCGGAUCCUCCGUAUUACCGCGGCUGCUGGCACGGAGUUAGCCGAUCCUUAUUCAUAUGGUACAUACAAAAUGCCACACGUGGCAAACUUUAUUCCCAUAUAAAAGAAGUUUACAACCCAUAGGGCGGUCAUCCUUCACGCUACUUGGCUGGUUCAGGCUCUCGCCCAUUGACCAAUAUUCCUCACUGCUGCCUCCCGUAGGAGUUUGGACCGUGUCUCAGUUCCAAUGUGGGGGACCUUCCUCUCAGAACCCCUAUCCAUCGAAGGUUUGGUGGGCCGUUACCCCGCCAACUGCCUAAUGGAACGCAUCCCCAUCCUCUACCGAAAUUCUUUAAUAACAAAACCAGGAGGUAAUGUUAUGCCAUCGGGUAUUAAUCUUUCUUUCGAAAGGCUAUCCCCG